UGGGGAAUAUUGCACAAUGGGCGCAAGCCUGAUGCAGCCAUGCCGCGUGUGUGAAGAAGGCCUUCGGGUUGUAAAGCACUUUCAGCGGGGAGGAAGGCGAUAAGGUUAAUAACCUUGUCGAUUGACGUUACCCGCAGAAGAAGCACCGGCUAACUCCGUCCCAGCAGCCGCGGUAAUACGGAGGGUGCAAGCGUUAAUCGGAAUUACUGGGCGUAAAGCGCACGCAGGCGGUCUGUCAAGUCGGAUGUGAAAUCCCCGGGCUCAACCUGGGAACUGCAUUCGAAACUGGCAGGCUAGAGUCUUGUAGAGGGGGGUAGAAUUCCAGGUGUAGCGGUGAAAUGCGUAGAGAUCUGGAGGAAUACCGGUGGCGAAGGCGGCCCCCUGGAAAAAGACUGACGCUCAGGUGCGAAAGCGUGGGGAGCAAACAGG
rnacentral:rRNA from 1 species